GAGAUCUUCCUUCAGGCUGGGCUGGUAACCAAAAGCCCUACAUAGGUGGGUGGUGGUUAACUCAGUUUCAAUAGACAGCAACUACUCCAGAAGCCAUGUCUGAAGAGAAAAACUUUAGCUAGGAUUUGUAGAAUGGACAGACUCUUGACUGCUGGGUGAUAAGGACUGAGGAAAUGAAUGAGUAGAAGGUGGGUACAGAACACGAAUUAGAAAAA
rnacentral:lncRNA from 10 species